rnacentral:rRNA from 1 species
UGGGGAAUUUUGGACAAUGGGCGAAAGCCUGAUCCAGCCAUGCCGCGUGUGUGAAGAAGGUCUUCGGAUUGUAAAGCACUUUAAGUUGGGAGGAAGGGCAGUAAGCGAAUACCUUGCUGUUUUGACGUUACCGACAGAAUAAGCACCGGCUAACUCUGUGCCAGCAGCCGCGGUAAUACAGAGGGUGCAAGCGUUAAUCGGAAUUACUGGGCGUAAAGCGCGCGUAGGUGGUUCGUUAAGUUGAAUGUGAAAGCCCCGGGCUCAACCUGGGAACUGCAUCCAAAACUGGCGAGCUAGAGUAGGGCAGAGGGUGGUGGAAUUUCAUGUGUAGCGGUGAAAUGCGUAGAUAUAGGAAGGAACACCAGUGGCGAAGGCGACCACCUGGGCUCAUACUGACACUGAGGUGCGAAAGCGUGGGGAGCAAACAGG